CUACGGUUAGAGGAGAGAUUAGGAAUUUUAUCGUCAUUUAGGCCUUCGAUUAUACUACGAGUUCGGAUCUCCUGCUCUUGUAACGAGAGGAUUGGGAUUGGAGUGUCGGGAUUUGUAAUGCCGGCUGUUCGCAUUGCAAAUUCCCCUCUGUUUUCUCUUUAAAUUAGCCCCCUUUCCUUUCUUGGUUGAUGAGAUUUUAGUUUGUGUAGCUUGGUCGUACGAAUCUUUUCUUUCCUGAACUUUUUGAUCGGUUGUUUCAACUAUACUGCAGGUAGGGAAUGAAAAGAAGACUAUAAGCUUUGAUCUCCGACCUUCAGAUGCCAUUAAUAUGACUGUUCAAUGCAAGGCCUGAUGGCCACCCUUGCUUCGGGACUGAAGAGUUCAAUUUGAUCCAAAACAUGCUGACUGCUGCUGUUGAGGAACGAUACUUAGAUGCUGCUCAGUGGAGGGACCAACUUCAUCAGCUCAGAUCCAAUAGAAAGAACUGGACAUGACAGGUUUUGGUGCAACCCUAUGCUCCCUGUCCUUUUUUUUUUGGCAUAUUCUUGAAAUUCUUGUACCUGUCAUAGGUUUUUUUUUUUUCUUAUGCUGCUGCAGUUCACUGGGAUGUAUAUAUGUUGUCCAAUCAUGCCGGAAAAAUGUGAUCAUAUAUAAGUAUAUGUAAGUAGCAGAUAGCCAUUGAUCUUGCAGAUAUAUAUGUAUAUAUAGUUUGCAACUCCAUGUUGGCAUCAUUUGCCUGUAUAUAUAUCAAUGUAAGACAAAGGAUCUCUUAUUCACAAGACAACCAUGGCUUAGCUUAGCAUCCAUCUCCUGCUAAUGUUGCUUGACUUCUGGUUUUCACCACUGUGGAGUGUUGACAUCUUCAAAGUCUGAGGCCUCCAGCAAAACUUCACCUUGCAAGUGCUAUUAUAAAUGUAGAUACUAAACUUUAUCCAAUUGGACAAUCAUAUUUUAA